rnacentral:lncRNA from 1 species
UUAUGAUUGUUUAUAUGUUUAUGUAAAGAUAAAACUAAUAGUCAUCAACUCUCAGGCUAGUAGAAGUGACAAGCAUGUAAUAUAUACUUUCCAACGAUGUACUAUUUUGACCCUUAUUGAUAUCAUCCCGGCUGAAACUGCCUCCUACUCUUUUACUUGUUUCAGUCAGUUGACUGUGGCCAUGCUGGAGCGCUGCCUUUAAUCGAGCAAAUCGACCCCAGGAGUUAUUCUUUGUAAGCCUAGUACUUAUUCUAUCGGUCGCUUUUGCCAAACCGCUAAGUUACAGGGACGUAAACACACCAGCAUCGGUUGUCAAGCGAUGUUGAGGGGACAAACACAGACACAGACACAGAAACAUAUACACACAUGCACAUAUAUAUACGAUGGGCUCCUUUCAGUUUCCGUCUACCUAAUCCACUCACAAGGCUUCGGUCGGCCUGAGGCUAUAGUAGAAGACACUUGCCCAAGGUGCCAUGCAGUGGAACUGAACUCGGAACCAUGUGGUUGGUAACCAAGCUACUUACCUCACAGCCACUCCUAUGCCUAUUAUUAUUAUUAUUAUUAUUAUUAUUAUUAUAUCAUUACCAUGCAGGGUAAAAUACUUAGUGAUAUUUCGCUUCUCUUUACAUUCUGAGUUCAAAUUCUGCCGAGGUUGACUUUGCCUUUCAUCCUUUCAGGGUCGAUAAAUUAAGUACCUGUGAAACACUGGGGUCGAUGUAAUUGACUAGUCUCUUCCCCCAAAAUUCCAGGCCUUGUGCCUAUAGUAGAAAGGAUUAUUAUUAUAUAUUACUACUACUACUACCACCACCACCACCACAACCACUACCACCACCACCACCACCACCACUACUACUACUACUACUACUACUACUACUAAUAAUAAUAAUAAUAAUAAUCAUAAAAUAUUUUGAGUUGGCAAAAUAAAGUGAUGUUAUUUUAUCACAAGGGGGAGAGAUUUGAUAUUUCGACAGAGCCCUUUUGUUAGGUCCCUUUCAAAAUGUCAGCUCCCCCCGUCCCUCUCUACAGUAAAGCAAUUUAUACCACAGUGCAAGCCUUAGACUAUUCCCAGCAUGAUAACAAUGAUGAUGAUGAUGACAACCAUCAUCAUCAUCAUCAUCAUCAUUGUUGUAGUCCUUGACACCAUCACUGAAGCUGCUCAAUUUUGUGUAUGUAUAUAUAUAUCCUGAGGUGUACUAUACUGAGUGUAGUUAUGAGGCAGUGGGGAAGUAGUCUAGAUAUUUCGAAUUGCACGUAUGCCCCCAAAAUACAUAAAUAAUCAAAUAACUGGUCAUUAAAAGGUAACGAUUAUUUCUCCUCCUCGUAAGUGUAAUUACAAUUAAUUAAAAAAUUGCUUUGCUUACAACAUUAAGUAUGGUUAACACAGAGACCUUACAUUUGUGCUUUCAUGCAGAGCAUGUCCCUGGGUAUUUCAUCCCUCUGCCUUUACCCUUUACAUAGGAUUCUAAUAAAACAAAUGUUAAGGAAUUAGUUUUAGCUGCUUAAAGGUCAGCACAUUCAUCGUUGUUGUUUUUAAUAAUUUUAAUUGAACUCAGCCACUGCCCACCAACCGAUGUUCAAAGAGUUUUUUUUAACGUUUUGAUUACACUUUGAUACUAUCCUGCAAGGAAAUUAGUUCAUUAAUUAACUAAUUAGUACCUGGUGUGCGUGUGUCUGUGUCAAAGACGGUGUUUUAUGUAAGCAGAGAACCACGUGGAGCCUUGGUGUCAGCUGUGAUUAUGGUGCUCACUUUAUGGUGAAGCUUGUUGUGUCAGAAACCUUAUCGGUUUGUGAGCCAAUGUAAAAAUAUACUGGAGAUAUAUGGAAUCGUGUCAGAAGUCUGUCUCCAUGCCUGUGUACGUGUGUGUGUGUGUUCUGUGAGUAAACAUCAUUUGCUUAUUUGGUUCAGUCAUCUGACUGCUACGAUGAUUACCUACGUACCAAUGGUUUCACUUGUUUAAUAUCUAUGUAUCCAAACACGCAGAUAUCUGCAAGAUCGUCAGCAUAGGCGCAGGAGUGGCUGUGUGGUAAGUAGCUUGUUUACCAAACACAUGGUUCCGGAUUCAGUCCCACUGCGUGGCACCUUAGCCUUGGGCCGACCAAAGCCUAGUGAGUGUAUUUGGUAGGCGGAAACUGAAAGAAGCCCGUCGUAUAUAUGUAUAUAUAUAUAUAUAUAUGUAUGUGUGUGUGUGUUUGUGUGUCUGUGUUUGUCCCCCUAGCAUUGCUUGACAACCAAUGCUGGUGUGUUUAUGUCCCCGUUACUUAGCGGUUAGGCAAAAGAGACCGAUAGAAUAAGUACUAGGCUUACAAAAGAAUAAGUCCUGGGGUUGAGUUGCUCGAUUAAAGGCGGUGCUCCAGCAUGGCCGCAGUCAAAUGACUGAAACAAGUAAAAGAAGUAAAAGAGUAUAGUCUGUCACUUACAAAACAAUUUCCAGGACUAGAUACAGAACGCUCAACCGAAAUUGAGCAUGUAUAAAGUUCUACAAAUUAUAUUCGGGUGUAAUUUACAAAUGUCUUCACUUUGGCGCGCUGAGGCCAGAAAUUUCAGCAGCCAAUUUAUGGCGAUUUGACGUCUAUGUUUAGCAUAUUAGGUGUCCACUUUAGUGGUCAUUCCUCUUAAUUUUGUACAUAUAUAUAUAUAUAUAUAUAUAUACACACACGAUGGGUUCCUUUCAGUUUCCAUCUAUCAUAUCCACUCACAGGGCUUUGGUUGGCCUGAGGCUAUAGUAGAAGAAGACACUUGCCCAAGGUGUCACGCAGUGGGACUGAACCCAGAACUGUGUGGUUGGGAAUAAAGCUUCUUACUAUAUAGCCACACGUUAUGUUUUUGCAGGCAGUGCUUGGGUUGGAUAUCUUUCCAUUUAGGAUUUUAUGAACCCUGUGUUGACCCUUUUGAUGCCAAACCAUCUGAGACUGCCCCUGGGUGAAUGAUACCUACCUACUUCCUAUUUUAACCGUUUGGCCUUGAGAUGAUUCUGUCGAAUAUAAUGCUCAUUCAAUCACAUUGUUUUGAAUGAAUCAAGCAUCAUCUUGUAGCUUCCAGCUUUUGAUGAUGUGGUUGUUUACUUUUGGAAUGAUAUUACAGGGUAUGUGUGACAGACCAGAUCUGACUGGUUUAAGUAAAAAUCAGGUAGAAAAUUUUGGCAUGAUUAUUGUCGGUUUAAAUGCCAAAGGGUUAAAUUUGACUAAAUUAAAACCUUCCGUCGUAAUUUCAUGUCAAUCAUAUUCCAAACACCAACUGUCAUCAUCAUCAUCAUCAUCACCAUCAUCGUUUAACAUCUGCUUUCCAUGCUAGCAUGGGUUGGACGAUUUGACUUGAGGUCUGGCAAACCAGAUGGCUGCACCGGGCUCCAAUCUUGAUCUGGCAGAGUUUCUACAGCUGAAUGCCCUUCCUAACGCCAACCACUCCGAGAGUGUAGUGGGUGCUUUUACGUGCAACUGGCAUGGGGCCAGUCAGGCGGUACUGGCGAUGACCUCGCUCGAAUCUUUUUACACAUGCCACCAGCACAGGUGCCAGUAAGGCGAUGCUGGUAACAAUCAUGCUCGAAUGGUGUCUUUUACAUGCCACCGGCACAGAGGCCGGUAUAAUGGUAAAAUCAUUUUAUUAAAUUCUUCGUUAUUUUUAAAACUGAUUGCAAUAAAGAAGGUAGUGUAUUCCAUGAGGAAUAUGGUAGCAUGAGUUAAGGGAGUUACAAAGCUCGAAGAAGAUGCCAGCAAGUGUGUGUGGUGUUGUUGUAAGUUUGUAUUGUAUGUCGAUGUAUGCUGUGGUGUGUUGAGAGGUUGCAGAAGUAUUAAGACUGGUCCAUCUGGUGGUGAAAAUCACUUGUGACAGUGCUAUGUAGAAGCACCUGUGUGGUGUCACAUAAAAGUGCCUGUGUGGUAUUGUCACUUAAAAGAGCCCGAGCAGUGCCAUGUAAAAGCACCCAGUACACUCUGUGAAGUGACUGGCAUUAGAAAGGGCAUCCAGCUGUAGAGACCAUGCCAGCUCUGGUGGUCAAGCCAUCCAGCCCAUGCCAGCAUGGACAAAAGAUAUUAGAUGAUGACGACGGCGAUGGUGGUGGUGGUGGUGGUAGUGGUGGUAGUGGUGUGUGUUGCUGUAGGUGCAUCUGUGAGUCAUGGUCAGUUUCUGUGUCUAAAUGUGUUGCUAUAGAUGUGUAUGUGUGUGUUGUGGUAGGUUUGUAUGUUUUGUAUGUGUGUGUGUGUGUGUGUGUGUGUGUGUGUGGUGCAUUAAAUGUAUAUCUGUAUAUGUUGUAGUAGGUGUUUACAUAUCUGUGUUUUACUAGGUGUGUGUGUGUGUGUGUGUGUGUAUGUGUGUGCCUUUGUGUGUUGCAGUAUAUGUAUGUGUGUGUGUGUGUGUGUGUAUGUAUGUGCCUUUGCGUGUUGCAGUAUAUGUGUGUGUGCGUGAGUGUAUAUCUGUAUGUAGGUGUGCAGUAGGUGUAUAUACACCUGUUUUGCAUUAAGGAGUGUGCUCAUACAAAUACACCUGUGUGUGUGUAUGUGUGUACACAUGUGCAUGUGUGCCUUUGUGUAUUGCAGUAGCUUUGUGUACGUACGUAUAUGUGUGUGUCUGUGCCUUUAUGUGUUAUGUAGGUUUCUGUGUCUGUUGCAGCGAUGUGCUUGAAUGUGUUACGUAUGCAUUAAAUGUAUUAAUGUAGGUGUGUGUCUUGUGUUGCAUUAAGCCUCUGCAUAUAUAUUUCUUUAUUGCCCCCAAGGGGCUAAACAUAGAGAGGACAAACAAAGGGAUUAAGUCGAUUACAUCGACCCCCAGUGCGAAACUGGUACUUUUAUUUAUCGACACCCUGAAAGGAUGAAAGGCAAAGUCGACCUCGGCAGAAUUUGAACUCAGUACGUAACGACAGACGAAAUGCCGCUAAGCAUUCCGCCUGGUGCGCUAACAUGUCUGCCAGCUCGCCACCUUAUACUCUUUACUCUUUUACUUGUUUCAGUCAUUUGACUGCGGCCAUGCUGGAGCACCGCCUUUAGUCGAUCAAAUCGACCCCGGGACUUAUUCUUUGUAAGCCCAGUACUUAUUCUAUCGGUCUCUUUUGCCGAACCGCUUAGUGACGGGGACGUAAACACACAAACACACACACACACACACAUAUAUAUAUAUACAUAUAUACGACAGGCUUCUUUCAGUUUCCAUCUACCAAAUCCACUCACAAGUCAUCGGUCGGCCCGGGGCUAUAGCAGAAGACACUUGCCCAAGAUGCCACGCAGUGGGACCUGAACCCGCAACCAUGUGGUUGGUUAGCAAGCUACUUACCACACAGCCACUCCUGCGCCUGUAUGCAUAUAUGCGUUAUAGAUGUACUGUCUGUCUGUCUCUCUGUCCCUCUAUAUAUGUCAGCUGGUGGACAGCAGCGUAGAAUGUAAUUCUGGUAACCAGAAUUUAAAGCCAUAUCUGUGUGUGUGUAUGUGUGUAUGUCUUUUAUUUUUUUUAUAACUUCCCAUUUAUGUAAGUUGUCUUGACAGGGGGAAGUAGCAUUUAAAAAUACAUCCCAUUGAAUCAGUAAUUUGAGCUUUAAUCACUGCUCUCUUUUUUUUGUUUUUCCCCUCUUCCUUUGUUACUAUCUCUCUCUCCUUCUCUCUCUCUCCUUCUCUCUCUCUCGCUCGCUCUCUUGCUCUCUCUCUCUCGCUCUCUCUCUGUUUACCUCACUUGCCCUCUCUUUUUUGCCUUUUCUCUUUCGCUAUGACAACUACAUCAAGUGAAAAGUAUAGUUAUCACUAAAUGAUAGUCACCGUCAUUUAACAUCAUGUCAGGAAUCAUCUUUGUCAUUGCCAGUAUCAUCAUCAUCAUCAUCACCAUCAUCAUCAUCAUCAUCAUCAUCAACAUCAUCAUCAUCAUCAUCAUCAUCGCACUUGUCUGCGUAUCUUCCUGUUUAUAUCACACACACACACACACACACACACACACACACAUACACACAUAGUAUUACAUUCCCUUACUUGCAUUCUUAUGCAUGCCUGUGCACACAGACACACACACACACACACACACACACACACACACACAUGUGACACAUACUCCUCCAUAAAUAAGUGGAGAGUCACAGCACCUGUUGAACUCUACCCCCCUCCCUCCCCGGAGCCUACCUUAUUUGUUGCCUCUAUUAUUCUGCCACCAACCGAGCAUGCAGGAAGCAUCUAAUGUGGUUGAUUGACCCUCCAGAAACAGCAGCCAAGUCUCCGUCGGAUAACUCUUAUACUAUUUUAAAGGAAGAAAGGAUUACAUUGGGUACUGUAGGCUUAGAUAGGCCUAAAAAUGGCAAGAUGGCCAUGGCAGAAAUGAUUUUGAUCAUAGAGCUACUCAUUGAUGGUUGACCUGGGGCUAAACACCAGUAGGCACACCGGAAUGAAUUGGACUUUGGAGAAAAAUGCAACAUGGCCAAACUGUACUUUGUACCAAUACAUAAUGAAAUGCCAAAGUAUGCAAUGUGGUUAUCAAAUAGGUGAGGACAGUGUGUCUACCUUAUUUCAACAGUGGAUCUUAUUCUUGUUAGUUAGUCAGGGAAAGAGAAUUCAGAAUCUUUGGAAGCUGUCUCAGACUGGGGUUAACCCUUUCGUUACUGUAUUUAUUUUGAGAUCCUCUGUGUUUCUUUCAAUUGUUUUAAAUAUAACAAAGAAUUUAGUAAAAUAACUUCGUUAUCAUUCAGCUAGUGUUGGGAACAUAAAUUGUGACUAAGGUUUGGUGGAAGAUUUUAAUUCAAAACUUAUGAAAACAAGGAGUGGCUGUGUGGUAAGUAGCUUGCUAACCAGCCACAUGUUUCCGGGUUCAGUCCCACUGUGUGGCAUCUUGGGCAAGUGUCUUCUGCUAUAGCACCGGGCCGACCAAUGCCUUCUGAGUGGUUUUGGUAGACGGAAACUGAAAGAAGCCUGCCGUAUAUAUGUAUAUAUAUAUAUAUAUAUAUAUAUAUAUAUAUAUAUAUAUAUGUGUGUGUGUGUGUGUGUGUAUGUGUUUGUGUAUAUGUGUUUGUCCCCCUAGCAUUACUUGACAAUCGAUGCUGGUGUGUUUACGUCCCCGUCACUUAGCGGUUUGGCAGAAGAGACUGAUAGAAUAAGUACUGGGCUUACAAAGAAUAAGUCUUGGGGUCGAUUAGCUCGACUAAAGGCGGUGCUCCAGCAUGGCCGCAGUUAAAUGACUGAAACAAGUAAAAGAGUUAUAUUAAAGAUCCAGAACCGGUUUCAGCUGGGUUGCUAACGAAAGGGCUAAUGUAGCUGAUGAUUCUGUGCACCCAUGAGAUAGAGAGAACAGGAAGCCAGAUAUUGUGUUAAUUGAGAAAGAAUGCAAAUGAUGCUGGAUCAUAGAUACAUCAUGCCCAGCUGACAACAAGGUAUACAAUAAGGACGAAAGAAAAGUUGAUAGAUAUGACAGGUUAGUUUGGGAGAUUAAGCAGUUUAGGGUAUCAUCAUCAUCAUCAUCAUCAUCAUCAUCAUCAUCGUUAUUGUCAUUGUUUUUGUUGUUGCUUUAAUGUCCGUGUUUUACAUCCUUGCAUGAGUUGG